rnacentral:rRNA from 1 species
AUUGAACGCUGGCGGCAGGCCUAACACAUGCAAGUCGAACGAGUGGCGGACGGGUGAGUAAUGUCUGGGAAACUGCCCGAAGGAGGGGGAUAACUACUGGAAACGGUAGCGAAUACCGCGUACCCUCGGAUGUGCCCAGAUGGGAUUAGAUUGUGGGUGGGGUAACGGCUCACCAAGGCGACGAUCCCUAGCUGGUCUGAGAGGAUGACCAGCCACACUGGAACUGAGACACGGUCCAGACUCCUACGGGAGGCAGCAGUGGGGAAUAUUGCACAAUGGGCGCAAGCCUGAUGCAGCCAUGCCGCGUGUAUGAAGAAGGCCUUCGGGUUGUAAAGUACUUUCAGCGGGGAGGCGUUACCCGCAGAAGAAGCACCGGCUAACUCCGUGCCAGCAGCCGCGGUAAUAC